GUUAGUUGAUGCCAUUUUACCUGGAUGGGGACAGAGGGUAACUGAAGUCUGAGGCAGUCCUGAAGAUGAGUGUUUGUGAGGAGGAAGAGGACGGAGCAGAGUCUCCAGGAUCCAUCUGUCCGUCUUUGGAGAGUGACUCUGAGGUGGAAGUGAUGACCUACAUAAAGGUGAAGAGGACAGUGUGUGUGUGUGUGUGUGUGUCUGUCUGUGACUCCAGAGGGAAUGAGAAGAAGUGCAGAUGACUGUGCUGCAGUCUGAACUGAUCUGAGAACAGUCCACCAUCAUCCCCAUUUCAAUCUGAAAUGACUUUAGCUCUGAAGAGGAGUUUGACUCGAGCUCCUCUCAAACUCUCCGAUCUUACCAAUAAUCAGAAAUCAGGUAAUCAAACUCAGACUGAGAUCCUUCUCAUUCUGGUCUCCAGUCCGGUCCUGGUCCUUUAUCCACUAAUGUCACAGCAGCUGUCAGAACCUGGAUGUGAUCUUUCACACCAACAAAGUCAUCCAUUCAUGCCUCUAUCAUCUGAGGAACAAUGUAAAGUAUCAUUCAUGCCUUCAUUUCCUGGUGAUUUGGAUUAUUGAUCUUUCAUCUUAAAUCAGAAAUCAAUCAAUAAGCUCCGAGUUGUUCAGUUUGGCAGUGGGACAGAGAACAUGUUACUCUGUGCCCUUUUGUUUUUGGACUGAUUUCCAGAUGAUUUUACUUGACCCUAUAAAAUCCUUCAGAAUAAAUAUCUGAACUGGGUUCCUCUUACCAACCAGUCACAGCCUGAGAUCCUCAGACAGGAACCUGCUGAUUGUUCCCACCUGACGGUCAAAGACUGAAGGGAACCGAGCUCCUCGGCUGUGGAACGACCUCUCUGAAGAACUCCAGCUCGCCACAUCAGCGUCUUCUUUUAAAUCCCCAUCAAGACUUACCUACUUCAAAAGGUUUUCUUAUGAUCUUUUCUGUAUAUUUCAAUCCACUGGUUGUUUUUUCAUUUUACUUUACUUUUGUUUAUUCAUGAAUGACUGUGUUUUAUUGUUUGUUGUAAAGCUCUGGUUUCCAUCAGUCCUAUAGAAAUAAACUUUAUUCUUAUUCAGGUUAGUUAAUGAAAAUGUGAGCCUGAUGCUUCAUACAGGACAUCUGGCUGCAGGUCAACUGAAGUCUUCAGGUUGUUAAAACACAGGUGUUAUGAUCAGAGCACAGGUAAGACGCCUCCUGAAAAACAUGCUGUAAACAGUUGGUUUUUAUUUUUGGCCUGUUAGCGGGGCCAGUCAUCGUUAGCCUAGCAGACACUAAGGCUGUGUCUGAGAUCACUCAGUACUCCCUCUAUAGUCCACUAUAUACUGACUUUUCCAUUUUGUAGUGCUGUCCGAAUGUAUAGUGAGAAUUAUUAUACCCCAUAUAGUUGACUCGUAGUAUCCCACAAUGCAUCGUGAGAAGUAGUGCAUGUGCUCACGCUCAGAGACAGAAACAGUGUCGGAAAGUGUUUCUUCAUUUCGCAGUAAGCUCACUAUAGAGUCUCUACAUGAAACUCCCUGGAUAGUGAGUAGACAUUUAUAGACAAGAUGUUACCACUAACUUUCAUUAACUGAAAACACAGAGUAAGGUCGAUGCCCAGAUGCAUCGAUCCGUUCGUGUGGCACAGUCUGUCAAUCACCCAUUAGCCACGCCCCAAAGCUCGCCCUGUUUUAUCGUCUCUUUUCCUCUAAACGGGAGAGUAAUUUUAAAAAUGAACAUCGUGUUGU